rnacentral:rRNA from 1 species
CCUACGGGAGGCAGCAGUGAGGAAUAUUGGUCAAUGGCCGCGAGCCUGAACCAGCCAAGCCGCGUGAGGGACGACGGUGCCAAGCAUUGUAAACUUCUUUUGUCAGGGGACAAAAUCAGGCUCGAGAGCCUGACCGAGGGUACUUGAAGAAAAAGCAUCGGCUAACUCCGUGCCAGCAGCCGCGGUAAUACGGAGGAUGCGAGCGUUAUCCGGAUUUAUUGGGUUUAAAGGGUGCGUAGGCGGACGGUUAAGUCAGCGGUAAAAGCCCGGGGCUCAACCCCUGCGAGCCGUUGAAACUGGUUGUCUUGAGAGGGUGAGAGGUAUGCGGAAUGCGCAGUGUAGCGGUGAAAUGCAUAGAUAUCGCGCAGAACUCCGAUUGCGAAGGCAGCAUACCGGCGGCGAUCUGACGCUGAGGCACGAAAGCGUGGGUAUCGAACAGGAUUAGAUACCCGAGUAGUC